rnacentral:rRNA from 1 species
CAGUAGCCGCGGUAAUACGGAGGGUGCAAGCGUUAAUCGGAAUUACUGGGCGUAAAGCGUGCGUAGGCGGUGAGUUAAGUCUGCUGUGAAAUCCCCGGGCUCAACCUGGGAAUGGCAGUGGAUACUGGCUCGCUAGAGUGUGUCAGAGGAUGGUGGAAUUCCCGGUGUAGCGGUGAAAUGCGUAGAGAUCGGGAGGAACAUCAGUGGCGAAGGCGGCCAUCUGGGACAACACUGACGCUGAGGCACGAAAGCGUGGGGAGCAAACAGGAUUAGAUACCCCCGUAGUCCCUGUCUCUUAUAA